rnacentral:rRNA from 1 species
UACGUAGGGCGCAAGCGUUGUCCGGAAUUAUUGGGCGUAAAGAGCUCGUAGGCGGUCUGUUGCGUCCGCUGUGAAAACUCGGGGCUUAACCCCGAGCCUGCAGUGGAUACGGGCAGACUAGAGGUAGGUAGGGGAGAAUGGAAUUCCCGGUGUAGCGGUGAAAUGCGCAGAUAUCAGGAGGAACACCGGUGGCGAAGGCGGGUCUCUGGGCAGUAACUGACGCUGAGGAACGAAAGCGUGGGUAGCAAACAGG